ACGUCCUCAUUGUUUCGCACUCUCCCUCCUGGGAGAGAGGACAUUUGUUAACGAUUAGGAAGACGAAGGCUUUGAACCGUGCCUCUCACCCACAGCGACACGUGGGCUCUAAGCCCUGGCACCUGGUAGCGUCCAGAGGAAUAUGAACUUCCUCUUUUCUGCCCUCUGUGAAACAUGCAGCACGUUCACUUAUGAGACAAAAAGAAAAAAAAAAACAAAAUGGGCCAGUCUUCUCUCUCAAAGGUGAGAGGAGCAGACUGAAGUUACUUCUGCCAGACAGACGUUCCUUGUCCUGUGAUGCUCCUUAAUAAACUGGUUCAUGCUACCACAUAAGUAGCUGCUCUGCAGAGAACACAGCUGACAUCUAAGAAUUUCCUGGAAUAUAUGUUAUUUGAUUGAAGGCCCAUCCCUGCUUCGGAUGAGAAAUGGCAGACUAUGGAAUUUCAGAGAUCAUCUCUUUCAACACCUUGCGUAAAGGAAGUCAUUGCUAGCCAAAAGGUUGGGGGUAAAAGCACUUUAUGGAGAGAUGACGUUUAAACUGAGAAAGGAGGAUGAGAAGGAGCUAGCCAACUGAAGAGAAUAUGUGAAAGAUUAUCAUGGUGAAAGCAAAGAAAAUGAAUAAAAGUGAAAAGGCUUGAGAUAAAUUAUGGAAGAACAGCGAGAGUGAAAAACAAGAAAUCAAUGACUCCCAGAAGGUCACAGGAGAGCCUUCUGGCAUCUUGGAAAUAAUCCAAGUGGUGAUUACACAGCAUAUUCAUAAG